rnacentral:SRP_RNA from 1 species
UCGUGCUAGACGGGGAGCCAGCGGUGCCCUGUAACCUGCAAUCCGCUAUAGCAGGGUCAAUUACUGAAAGGCGGUAUGAUUUGGACAGACCCGGUUUUGAAGGAAGCGGCGUUGAAGGUUGGGUCCGCUAUAGAUAUAUGCUUCAAACCCCGUCAGGACCGGAAGGUAGCAGCGGUAAGAGGUGGUAUGUCUGAUAGUGGCUUUCCUGACCUGAGUCUUUUCCCUCCCAAAACCCUGUCCGACGAAUACCAACUUUUAGGUGCACGG